GGGCUACACACGUGCUACAAUGGCAUCUACAGUGGGUUAAUCCCCAAAAGAUGUCUCAGUUCGGAUUGUUCUCUGCAACUCGAGAGCAUGAAGUCGGAAUCGCUAGUAAUCGCGUAUCAGCAAUGACGCGGUGAAUACGUUCCCGGACCUUGUACACACCGCCCGUCAAGCCAUGGGAGUUGGGUAUGCCUGAAGAUGGUUGUUGAA
rnacentral:rRNA from 1 species